rnacentral:rRNA from 1 species
UGGAUUAGUGGCGAACGGGUGAGUAACACGUGGGCAAUCUGCCCUGCNCUCUGGGACAAGCCCUGGAAACGGGGUCUAAUACCGGAUAUGACUGCUACGGGCAUCCGUGGUGGUGUAAAGCUCCGGCGGUGCAGGAUGAGCCCGCGGCCUAUCAGCUUGUUGGUGGGGUGAUGGCCUACCAAGGCGACGACGGGUAGCCGGCCUGAGAGGGCGACCGGCCACACUGGGACUGAGACACGGCCCAGACUCCUACGGGAGGCAGCAGUGGGGAAUAUUGCACAAUGGGCGCAAGCCUGAUGCAGCGACGCCGCGUGAGGGAUGACGGCCUUCGGGUUGUAAACCUCUUUCAGCAGGGAAGAAGCGCAAGUGACGGUACCUGCAGAAGAAGCACCGGCUAACUACGUGCCAGCAGCCGCGGUAAUACGUAGGGUGCGAGCGUUGUCCGGAAUUAUUGGGCGUAAAGAGCUCGUAGGCGGCUUGUCGCGUCGGAUGUGAAAGCCCGGGGCUUAACCCCGGGUCUGCAUUCGAUACGGGGCAGGGCUAG